UGGGUGAGUAACGCGUAGGAACCUGUCGCACAGUGGGGGAUAACGCUGGGAAACCGGCGCUAAUACCGCAUGUGGUCAGAGAUGAAGAAAGCAGCAAUGCGCUGUGUGAGGGGCCUGCGUCCGAUUAGCUGGUUGGUGGGGUAACGGCCUACCAAGGCGACGAUCGGUAGCUGGUCUGAGAGGAUGGUCAGCCACACUGGGACUGAGACACGGCCCAG
rnacentral:rRNA from 1 species